rnacentral:rRNA from 1 species
GAAGCGGGAAAAGCUCAAAUUUGUAAUCUGGCACCUUCGGUGUCCGAGUUGUAAUCUCGAGAAGUAUUUUCCGCGCUGGACCGCACAUAAGUCUGUUGGAAUACAGUGUCAUAGUGGUGAGAACCCUGUAUAUGGUGUGGACACCCAGCGCUUUGUGAUAUACUUUCGAAGAGUCGAGUUGUUUGGGAAUGCAGCUCAAAUUGGGUGGUAAAUUCCAUCUAAAGCUAAAUAUUGGCGAGAGACCGAUAGCGAACAAGUACCGUGAGGGAAAGAUGAAAAGCACUUUGGAAAGAGAGUUAACAGUACGUGAAAUUGUUGGAAGGGAAACGCUUGAAGUCAGACUUGCAUUUUGGAGUUCAGCCGCAAGGUGUAUUCUUCGAUUCGCAGGCCAGCAUCAGUUUUCGGGGGUGGAAAAGCGCGGUUUGAAGGUAGCAGUUUCGGCUGUGUUAUAGCUUUCCGCUGGAUUCACUUUUGGGGACUGAGGAACGCAGUACGCUUUUUGCAAGACCUUCGGGUUUUUUC